rnacentral:rRNA from 1 species
GAUCCUGGCUUAGGAUGAACGCUGGCGGCGUGCUUAACACAUGCAAGUCGAGCGAAGCGAUUCAAAGAAGUUUCGGAUGGAUUUGAAUUGACUGAGCGGCGGACGGGUGAGUAACGCGUGGGUAACCUGCCUCAUACAGGGGGAUAACAGUUGGAAACGACUGCUAAUACCGCAUAAGCACACAGUGCCGCAUGGUACGGUGUGAAAAACUCCGGUGGUAUGAGAUGGACCCGCGUCUGAUUAGGUAGUUGGUGAGGUAACGGCCCACCAAGCCGACGAUCAGUAGCCGACCUGAGAGGGUGACCGGCCACAUUGGGACUGAGACACGGCCCAAACUCCUACGGGAGGCAGCAGUGGGGAAUAUUGGACAAUGGGGGAAACCCUGAUCCAGCCGACGCCGCGUGAGUGAAGAAGUGUUUCGGCAUGUAAAGCUCUAUCAGCAGGGAAGAAAAUGACGGUACCUGACUAAGAAGCCCCGGCUAACUACGUGCCAGCCGCUGC